rnacentral:rRNA from 1 species
GACGAACGCUGGCGGCGUGCCUAAUACAUGCAAGUCGAACGAGAGCGACCGGUGCUUGCACUGGUCAAUCUAGUGGCGAACGGGUGAGUAACACGUGGGUAACCUGCCCAUCAGAGGGGGAUAACAUCCGGAAACGGAUGCUAAAACCGCAUAGGUCUUCGAACCGCAUGGUUUGAAGAGGAAAAGAGGCGCAAGCUUCUGCUGAUGGAUGGACCCGCAGUGCAUUAGCUAGUUGGUGAGGUAACGGCUCACCAAGGCCGUGAUGCAUAGCCGACCUGAGCGGGUGAGCGGCCACAUUGGGACUGAGACACGCCCCAAAAACAUACGAGAGGCAGAGGGAGGGAAUCUUACACACUGAGAGCAAGUCUGACAGAGCGACGCCGCGUGAGUGAAGAAGGUUUUCGGAUCGUAAAACUCUGUUGUUAGAGAAGAACAAGUGCGAGUGUAACUGUUAGCGCCUUGACGGUAUUUAAACAGAAAGCCACGGUUAACUAGGU